rnacentral:rRNA from 1 species
UACAGAGGGUGCGAGCGUUUAUCGGAAUUACUGGGCGUAAAGCGCACGUAGGCGGCUUGGUAUGUCGGGUGUGAAAUCCCCGGGCUCAACCUGGGAACUGCAUCCGAAACUGCCUUGCUAGAGUAUGGGAGAGGGAAGUGGAAUUUCCGGUGUAGCGGUGAAAUGCGUAGAUAUCGGAAGGAACAUCAGUGGCGAAGGCGACUUCCUGGACCAAUACUGACGCUCAGGUGCGAAAGCGUGGGGAGCAAACAGG